UGGGGAAUCUUGGACAAUGGGGGCAACCCUGAUCCAGCCAUGCCGCGUGAGUGAUGAAGGCCUUCGGGUUGUAAAACUCUUUCGACGGGGACGAUAAUGACGGUACCCGUAGAAGAAGCUCCGGCUAACUUCGUGCCAGCAGCCGCGGUAAUACGAAGGGGGCUAGCGUUGUUCGGAAUUACUGGGCGUAAAGCGCGCGCAGGCGGUUCUUCAAGUCAGGGGUGAAAGCCCAGAGCUCAACUCUGGAAAUGCCUUUGAAACUGUAGAACUUGAGUACGAGAGAGGUGAGUGGAAUUCCCAGUGUAGAGGUGAAAUUCGUAGAUAUUGGGAAGAACACCGGUGGCGAAGGCGGCUCACUGGCUCGUAACUGACGCUCAGGCGCGACAGCGUGGGGAUCAAACAGGAUUAGAUACCCCGGUAGUCC
rnacentral:rRNA from 1 species